rnacentral:tRNA from 1 species
GCCUUCGUGGUGUAACGGUAGCACACUCGGCGCAUAUUCGAGAAGCCCAGGUUCGAGUCCUGGUGAAGGCA